rnacentral:rRNA from 1 species
UACGGGGGGUGCGAGCGUUGUCCGGAAUCACUGGGCGUAAAGGGCGCGUAGGUGGCGUCGUAAGUCUGUGGUGAAAGCCCGGAGCUCAACUCCGGGUCUGCCGCGGAUACUGCGAGGCUUGAGUGCUGUAGAGGGGGGUAGAAUGCCGGGUGUAGCGGUGGAAUGCGUAGAUAUCAGGAGGAACACCUGCGGUGUAGACGGCUUUCUGGACCAUUGCUGACGCUGAGACACGAAAGCGUGGGUAGCAAACAGG